UUCCCAGCAGCAAAUGCCUUCGCUCACUGAGCCAACUCAAACUCUUUAAAGUUUGGAGAACCAACAGCAUAUUUGUGGGAAAGCCUGGAAUGACCAGAGAAGCUAGGCUGUACAAUUACAGUCAUCAAAAGAGGAUUCAUUUGGAGGCAUUAAUGCCAUCAAUUAAGGUAGACUACAUUAUAGUUGAAGAAACAAGGUGUGAGUUGAAAAAGAGAACAAGAGGAAAAAGACACGAAGGAUGGCAAUUCCAUGCAAUGGCAAACAGAUAUUGAAGGCUAACCGAGAGAAAGGAACUCCUUGUGGAACUGUGGAUGCCCAUGUUUGGGGGUGAAGAUUCUGCACGACACUGAGCUUCUUGGGACUGUGAGGAAUCCCAAGAAAAUGGACACCUCGGGUGGAUAACUUAUGGUUCUGAACUUGAUUGUAUUCUUAUUAGUCAGGGUGUUUUUAUAAGCAUUGCACAGGAGUUAAGGAUUAACAAAGAAUGUAAACAUAUCCAAGUUUACAAUGAUGGAUGAAUUAAUUUGAUGUAAGUAAGUAAAAAUUCAGAUACCAAAAAUAGGAGCCAGUAGGAAACAAAAUGACUUCUCGACUCAUGAGAGAAACAUGUUCUGGCCCCCACAGCGUAAGUUCAUUUUUACUCCUCUUUAUGAUCAGAGAGGAGGUGCUUUUCACUAAUUCAUCCAGUGUGGCUUCCAAGGAGACCUGGCACAAUCACGAAGAUUCAUUGUCUGAAGUGUGCACAGAAUGUACCCAACUGGCUCAGAUGCUAAGUGGCCCUGGACAGGAGAGUGAAACUUCUCCACUUGUUAGCUCAGAGCGAGAAGGAACAGAUUGUGACCAUUGACGUUCCUUCAGCCUGCACAUAACUCGAGUGCCUAGUUAUGGAAAAAGAGGGAAGGAGAGGCCUGGGAAAGAAGGGAAAGAUUACAGCAGAGAGUAAGACAAGGUCAUCAAAAUCUAGAAAAUAUAUUGACACAGUUAGUGGAUAUUAAGUUCAAAUGAUCUUAUAUGUGAACCCUGCCCCGGCAUACACAGAUUUUAGGGCUCUAGGAAAUAAUGCCUGUUUGUUCUUUCUUCAAGACUGAAUACAUCCAAAAAGAAAAUGGCUACAACUUCCUUUGCACAAAGACAAGUCGGAGGGACCUGGGGAAUGAUGGAGGAAUAUUUUGUGGAACAAAAUAUUUAUUCUUGUUUCACUUAUGAGGAUAUCAAGACAGCAAAUUGUCUCUGGAGAAAAUCAUGCCUCAGAAAGAUAUUUUAAGAUCAGAGUUUGCCUGACACAUAAACCAAUGCUCUAACAGUGAAAAUUAUGAAAUUCUAUUUUGAAAGAUACAGAUUUUUAUUCCCCUUUCCUUUAUCAAUUUGGCUUUUUUUUUG